GAUCAACGCUGGCGGCGUGCCUAAAACAUGCAAGUCGAACGGCCCUUUCGGGGGCAGUGGCGGACGGCUGAGUAACACGUGGGCGACCUGCCCACCGGUGGGGGACAACCUUCCGAAAGGGGGCGUAAGACCGCAUNCGACCGCUCAUUCGGUUGAGCGGGGAAAACGAAGCAAUGUGCCGGUGGAGGGGCCCGCGGCCGAUUAGCUAGCUGGUGGGGU
rnacentral:rRNA from 1 species